AAAUUUCUAAGUAACCAAGAGAGGGUUGAGUACAGCUCCAAUGAAGAACACUAUCCCUGACUUUUCCUCUUUGAUCAUGAACAUAAAGGGAUGGUCAGCUACGAAGCUUGGCGGAUUCAACCUGGCACAUAACCACCUGAAUUCGGGAGCAGUACUAGCUGCUGCUUCUGUUCCUCCUUCAUUUACUUCAAUACAAGACUCAUGGAAUAUUUUUGAUAACACAAGUAAAUUUGGAGAAUCAACCAUCUCUGUGAAUUCUGCCAAAUGAUUGAAAGGUUGCUCCAGUCCCAGUUCCUUCAAGGUGUCUGAGGCUUCAAACUUGAAUGAAAACUUGAAUCUGGGAAUCCAAAAUUCAGGUAGCUCCUCUGCUUGUAACUCGAAUCGGCUGUUAUAAACUUCAGGAUUGGAUUGGAAAGUUUGUAUUAGACUAUGCAGGCCAUCUAUUGCAUUUGGAAGCAAGAAAUACAUAGAAAAUUGCCUGUUAUCUUGACUAGUUUGGUAAGGCAGCUUGAGAACCUUAUAGCCAUCAAAGGAUCCAUAAAGAUGGAUUUCAUGCGCCUUGCUGGUCAUGAAAGGAGCUUGAACGAUUUGGCCACUAAGAAGGUGGAAUUCUUUCUGCUUAGUUUUCAAUUCAUCAAAUUUUCGAUCCCAUGCUCCUUUGAAGUAGAUUGCAUUGGCAAGAACAAGAGCAGUAUCACUUUCUAGACAAUGCUGUGGUAGGAGGUUUCUGAUGAGUCCUUUUGUUGCAUCCUCUACCCAUAAAUUAACUUCAUCUAUCACUUGAUCAGCCUUGUUUACAAAGUCAACCUCCUUGGCUGUGGCAUGAUAAACGCCUUUCAACACUUCCUCAUAAGAAGGCUUCAAACCAAACGUUUGGUCCACCCAAGCUCCAUUGACAAAUGAGAUAGUUGGACCUGUUUCCAGGCACUUGCUUUCAUUUGCUGAGAAAAAUACUGAAUUGACAAUUGAAGCCAUAUCAAUUAGCUCUUUG
rnacentral:misc_RNA from 1 species